AGGAUAAUAGUUUAAAAAACAUUUAAUUUGCAUUUAAAAAAUAUCGUUUCUAAUGAUUUAUCUUU
rnacentral:tRNA from 1 species